AAGGCAGCCAUGGUAUUGACAGAAAAAGACUCUGGAUUUGGAUUGCAGCUGUAGCAUUUAUUAAAUGCACGUCACAACCUCUCUGAGCUUCGUUUUCCCCACGUUUCAAAUGGGAUGCAGUGGACCCUGUUGCCUACCCGAGAACAACUUCAAAGCAACUUUGAGAGCCUUGUAUGGAAGAUGGCAACUUUGAGAGCCUUGUGUUGAAGAUGGCAAAGCCACAAGAUGGAAAGUGCUUGGGUUCUUGGAUCAUUGUAUGGAGGGGUUCUGCCCAACUAGGAUCACCCAGGCUGGAUUGUCAUAAUGCACAUGAAGUCCAGCCAUGGUGUAGCCAAGGAGACCCACUAAGACCACCAAAAGCUUGGAAAUGAGGAUGCAGGGGCA
rnacentral:lncRNA from 1 species